rnacentral:rRNA from 1 species
AACGAACGCUGGCGGCAUGCCUAACACAUGCAAGUCGAACGAGACCUUCGUGUCUAGUGGCGCACCUGUGCGUACCGCCUGGUAACCUGCCCUUAGGUUCGGUAUCCCUCCCCUUAAGGUGUCCUCAUACCGGUUAAUCUCUUCGGACCAAAGAUUUCUCGCCUUUUGGUGGGCCCGCGUUGGUUUCGCCAGUUGGUAGGGUAAAAGCCUACCAAGGAGACGAUCCAUAGCUGGUCUGAGAGGAUGACCAGCCACACUGGAACUGAGACACGGACCAGACUGCGACGGGAGGGAGCAGUGGGGAAUAUUGGGGAAUGGGGGAAAGCGUGAUCAAGCAAUGCGGGGUGAGAGAUGAAGGGCUUAGGGUUGUAAAGCUCUUUGAGACGGGAUGAUAAUGACAGUACCGGGAGAAGAAGCUCCGGCUAACUACGUG